rnacentral:rRNA from 1 species
GAUGAACGCUGGCGGCGUGCCUAAUACAUGCAAGUCGAGCGAACGGACGAGAAGCUUGCUUCUCUGAUGUUAGCGGCGGACGGGUGAGUAACACGUGGAUAACCUACCUAUAAGACUGGGAUAACUUCGGGAAACCGUAGCUAAUACCGGAUAAUAUUUUGAACCGCAUGGUUCAAAAGUGAAAGACGGUCUUGCUGUCACUUAUAGAUGGAUCCGCGCUGCAUUAGCUAGUUGGUAAGGUAACGGCUUACCAAGGCAACGAUGCAUAGCCGACCUGAGAGGGUGAUCGGCCACACUGGAACUGAGACACGGUCCAGACUCCUACGGGAGGCAGCAGUAGGGAAUCUUCCGCAAUGGGCGAAAGCCUGACGGAGCAACGCCGUGUGAGUGAUGAAGGUCUUCGGAUCGUAAAACUCUGUUAUUAGGGAAGAACAUAUGUGUAAGUAACUGUGCACAUCUUGACGGUACCUAAUCAGAAAGCCACGGCUAACUACGUG